rnacentral:rRNA from 1 species
UAGGGAAUAUUGGGCAAUGGGCGCAAGCCUGACCCAGCAACGCCGCGUGAGGGAAGAAGGUUUUCGGAUUGUAAACCUCUGUCCUUGGUGACGAAACAAAUGACGGUAGCCAAGGAGGAAGCCCCGGCUAACUACGUGCCAGCAGCCGCGGUAAUACGUAGGGGGCGAGCGUUGUCCGGAAUUACUGGGCGUAAAGGGUGUGUAGGCGGGAGCACAAGUCAGAUGUGAAAUACCGGGGCUUAACCCCGGGGCUGCAUCUGAAACUGUGAUUCUUGAGUGUCGGAGAGGAAAGUGGAAUUCCCAGUGUAGCGGUGAAAUGCGUAGAUAUUGGGAGGAACACCAGUGGCGAAGGCGACUUUCUGGACGAUAACUGACGCUGAGGCGCGAAAGCGUGGGGAGCAAACAGG